rnacentral:rRNA from 1 species
GCUUGUCUCAAAGAUUAAGCCAUGCAUGUCUAAGUAUAAACGAUUUUAUACGUGAAACUGCGAAUGGCUCAUUAUAUCAGUUAUAGUUUAUUUGAUGGUCCUUACUACUUGGAUAACCGUAGUAAUUCUAGAGCUAAUACAUGCACAAAGGCCCGACUCACGAAGGGCUGUAUUUAUUAGAUGGAAACCAAUGCGGGGCAACCCGGUAUAUGGUGAUUCAUAAUAACUUUCGGAUCGAUUUAUCGAUGCAUCAUUCAAGUUUCUGCCCUAUCAGCUUUGGAUGGUAGGGUAUUGGCCUACCAUGGCUUUAACGGGUAACGGAGAAUUAGGGUUCGAUUCCGGAGAGGGAGCCUGAGAAAUGGCUACCACAUCCAAGGAAGGCAGCAGG